rnacentral:rRNA from 1 species
UACAGAGACUGCAAGCGUUAUUCGGAUUCACUGGGCGUAAAGGGUGCGCAGGCGGCCAAGUGUGUUAGGCGUGAAAGCCCGGGGCUUAACCCCGGAAUUGCACCUAAAACUACAUGGCUAGAGCAUUGGAGAGGGUAGCGGAAUUCACGGUGUAGCAGUGAAAUGCGCAGAUAUCGGGAGGAACACCAGUAGCGAAGGCGGCUCGCUGGGCCACACCUGACGCUGAGACGCGAAAGCUAGGGGAGCGAACAGG